rnacentral:rRNA from 1 species
AGUGAACGCUGGCGGUAGGCCUAACACAUGCAAGUCGAACGGCAGCACAGUAAGAGCUUGCUCUUACGGGUGGCGAGUGGCGGACGGGUGAGGAAUACAUCGGAAUCUACUUUUUCGUGGGGGAUAACGUAGGGAAACUUACGCUAAUACCGCAUACGACCUACGGGUUAAAGCAGUGGAUCUUCGGACCUUUCGCGAUUGAAUGAGCCGAUGUCGGAUUAGCUAGUUGGCGGGGUAAAGGCCCACCAAGGCGACGAUCCGUAGCUGGUCUGAGAGGAUGAUCAGCCACACUGGAACUGAGACACGGUCCAGACUCCUACGGGAGGCAGCAGUGGGGAAUAUUGGACAAUGGGCGAAAGCCUGAUCCAGCCAUACCGCGUGGGUGAAGAAGGCCUUCGGGUUGUAAAGCCCUUUUGUUGGGAAAGAAAAGCAGCAGGUUAAUACCCCGCUGUUCUGACGGUACCCAAAGAAUAAGCACCGGCUAACUUCGUG